rnacentral:tRNA from 1 species
GUGAGUGUCGCCAAGUGGUAAGGCAAAGGAUUGUGGCUCCUUCACUCGCGGGUUCGAUUCCCGUCAUUCACC